CCCUGCCCUUCUGCUUCCGGUAAAUUCCAGCCCAGUUUCUGUCCUUGGCUCUCCUGCCAUCCCUGCGCGAGACGACGGUUGCUGGGUCUCUGGGAGGUCCUUGCUUAUUUAGAAAGAAGAGAGAGAGAGAGAGAUUUACAUCAAGACUGACAAAAUUAACCCACUGGGCAGAUGCUAUUUAUACCAAUAGUGAAUUCGGAGAGAUGAACCUUCACGUGCGCCUGUAAUUGCAGAUGUGUUCCAGGAUUGGUUUGUGAUUUCCAGAAGGCUCUCAUUCCUUCCCCCAACCCGCUCCCCUCAUCAGGAUUCCUCUUGGCUUAUCCCAGCGGACAAGCACUUAACACCAAUGCGGCUUAAGGAUUAAGGACUGUAAUUGCUCACACAGCGUGACAGACACUGCACUCGGGGGUUCUGACGAUGCUUUAUGGUGGCGCUAUUAUUGGGAUAACUGUCAUAAAAGCUUGUCACCUUUAGGUUUUAAAGUUCCCUGCUGAAGACUGCAAACCAACUCCUGAAAGAUGAGGAUCCCUUAAGCAUUUGGGAGGUGGGGAG
rnacentral:lncRNA from 1 species